rnacentral:misc_RNA from 1 species
GGGGGGCGAGGGGGAGAGGAGAGGGGGGAGGGAGAAGGGGGAGCGGGAUGACAACAAUAGUAUCAUCUAUCAUGGACUCAUGGUCUCGCUCUACACAAUUUCCUGGAUGUGUCCAAAGCCAUGUAAAAGAAUCUUCAUAAAAUACCCAGUCUGUGACUUCCCAACAGUGUAAUGUACGCAAAAUUGAUUUCAUGUAGGAAAAAACAUUCUACUAUAACAUCCCACAGGGGAAAAAAAGCUAUCACAACAAUUUUCCACCCCCUUCUCACCUAGUCACAAAUUAAAAUAGUUUGGAAUAUAGAAGCCUAGCAGGUUCUUAAGUUAAAGAACAUAAAACCUGAUAACCAAAAUUUUAGUUCAUUGGAAAUUGAAAGGUUCAUCACCUAUUCCUGAGAAUAAAAUCAUUUGCAUCUGGAUUUAUUUAAGCCAACAUGUGACAAACUUAACCAAAACAUUUUCCUGCAACAAGAAGUUUGCGACUUUGUAUAAAAUUCACCAAUAUCAAGAGCCUUCUUACAAUAUAUUUAUAUCAAACUAUGUUUAACAAAUAUAGGAUGUCUUAUUCAUCAAACAACUUGAACUCAACUCAGCAACUCUCACUACACUGCUACGAUACAUGAUUCAAUACGCUUUUAUGUUGUAUAUAAAGUUAAUUAUAUAUUGACACAAAUAAAUCAUGUUUGCUUGCCUUGGAACAAAAGAUUGCAUGAAAUAAUAGUCCUAAUUCGAUACAUAUGAAUUUAUAAUUCCAAAACCAGCCACACUUAUGCAAUGCCAACCAAAGAUAUCAGGAAAGGCAAAAAUAAGAGGAAUUGACAAUCUCCCAGGCAACUACUAAUCGUCAUAUAGAUAGUUAAUGUGAACCCAUCAAAAUUUAAGAAAAAUUUAAUGACCCAACAAAUUGAUGGGGAAAAAAAUGUGGGGUUUGUUUGUCACUAGAAGUUUAAAAAUCACAGCGUAAUAAGAAAUCUAUAAAGCUGGGUGUAAAAGAACUAGAGAAGAAAGAACGGUUGAGCCAUUGCCCCAGCUUAAUUGAUGGGAAAAACUUAGUAUACCUUAAUUACCCUCAUCUACUACUCUACUAUUACUAGUUAUUUUUAUUUUCCUUGCACUCUUUUCCAAUGUACGCAGGUUUCAAUGACUAGAACAAUUGCCUAAUAUUUGCAUUCCAGUAAACAAAAUGAAUAAGCUAAAACUGUUGCAGUGACGUGAGCAGUUAAAAACUAAAACAAAAAUAGCAGAACAAGAUCCACAGAUUCAUAUAAUACUCUAGGUCCACAGAUUCAUAUAAUACUCUAGGCUCCAGCAACAAAAAGGCAAACAAAAUUUGCAGAACCCGCUAGUGCAACAGUUAAUCAAUAGAAAAUAGAAAAUCUAACACUAUGUAACAAAUUAAAAUUCUUUCAAAAAAAGAAUCAAAAGCAGGGAAUAACAUUGAGACAUUUUAUCGAACAACUGAUGUACAACAUCCAAGUUCAUCACAAAUUUUACCAAGUACAAGGCAUAUCAUAGAACAAGGUGCUUCAUCAGACCAUUAAAAUUUGAGAAAUUUGGAUAUAGCAGCGGUCAAAAAGAAAUCCAUAAAAAAGAGAAAGACGAUGAUAACGACAAAACAUGAAGAUUAUAGGGGAAAGAAAGAAUAUGCAUAAUCUGAAAUCAAAACUAUGAGACACGUAUACCCAGAGUUUCUUUGAAUUGAAAAUUUUGCUUGCGUGAAAAAUCAGACGGCCAAAG